GGCAUUCGGUCCUCAGGAACGACAAGAGACAUUUCCAGUUUUUGUAAAGGGAUCCCAAGAGAAGAGAUCCAGCUUCUUGGUGAAUAAUGUUGUUUCACAGCAACUGUUGAGUUUUCUUAUCCUUUUAUUUGAGGAGGCAUCAUCUUGUGCUCAUCAGGAGCUUGAACCUUGUGCCAGAGGCUUGUUUGACUAAUAAGAAUGGUGAUGCAAAUGGAAAUACCCCAUAACCACUUAAGAGAACACUGUUCGGAUGUUCUAUGCCUUUGAAGGACCUUUGGUUUUAUCUGUGUGCCUUGGACUUUUGCUUCAUUUGUCUGUGUGGACCAUGGUCAGCUGUGGAGCAUCCCCCUGGUACCCCAACUCGCCCUUUGAAGGCAGCUGAGAACAGGCACUGCUUUAUUGCCCUCCUUGCUUGUCGCACAGGUGCCCCAUGUGCUUCCCAAGCCACAAUCCAUUCCAGCUCUGGCCAUGAGCACUAAUCUGUCCCAGCAGCGUGUAUUGUUUCAAUGUUAAUGUUGAAACAUGUGCUACAGCACUUCUUUUCUACUUUUUUUAAACAAACCCCAAACAAACCCUAAUUGCAGUCUUUGCGGUUGGGCUCCCUCUCCAGCACAACAAGUGACAACUUGACACAUUCUGCUCAAGACACACAAGCAUUGUCUUGGCCAACCCCACAUACCAGCCAAGCCUUUUCAUCCUCUCCAUAAAAUCUCUUGCUAUUAGUGUUGUGUUUGGAUCUCGUUAUUCCUCUGUGGACAAGGAGUUCUGCAAGUAGGAGGUCUUCAGAUGGCCAUGCUUCUCCAUCGUGCAGUCUUUCUCCUGGGUUGUAAAGUCAGCAGCUGUAUGUUGACUUUCCAGGGGUGAGGAUGCAGUAUGAGCCUUUUCUUGUAACCUGGCAUUGGGCUGUGCCAAGGUGUCAUGUUCACUCAAGUGUCCUUCACUCUGAAAUGAUUUGGAUACUCUCCUGGCAGAUACGACCCAUGUUUGACCUGACUGAUUCAAUAAACACCAUGGUAUGUACACAGGAGUGAGUGUUAAGUAGUACCUUGUUGUCAGAUGCCUGCAUCUCUGCCUGUGACCCAUGGACUGAUGGAUGUCCCUGGUGAUGAGACAUUGGAAGUGAGUUGGAUGCGGGUAGCACUAUGAGGGACCUGGGAGUUAUUCUAUUAGAGAAUGUGAGAGACUCAAAUACUAUGGGGAGGAGGUGGGCUGGGGAGAGACACUAUCUGCUGUUCCUGAAGGAACAUCUUUCCCAAGCAGUUGGGGAGACACUGAGCUAACCCAAAGCAAGUUUAGCUGUUGCAGUGGUGAAACCAUUCCAUAAAUGUAUUCAUCCACAUGCAUUUACCUUGCUCUGUUUUGGGGCUGUAUGAGUGGGAAGUCACAGCGGUUGUGGGUAUCUGCAACUCCUGUCUUCUCUGUUUCGACAUUGUUAUGAAUUUAAAGCCAAAAACUGUAUGUCUGAUCCUGUUUUGGAAGUGAGUUGCUGUGGUUAUACAAGUAGAAACUUUACAGCAGUUCCCUUCCUUGCAUGGGUCCUGCUUCUAUCUCCCCCCCCUCAGUGCGUGUCUUCUCACUGCAGGUUUUGGAAGCAUCUGCUGGAGAGGUACAAGCUUAGCUCUUGUGUCAAACAGAGAAGUUAGCUCCUUUUCUGAAUUUCGAGGAAAUAGGCACUGAUUAUUUUGGGGUGUACAGAAAAUAUAUCUACUUCAAUGUAUGUACUGUAAAUUUCUAAUUUAUCACUGUAAAAAAAAAAAAAA
ensembl:lncRNA